GUGACAGCCAGCAGGAAGUGAUACAAGGACGCAUGCACUUCCAUGUUCAUUACUGCACUGUUCACAAUAGCCAAGAUAUGGAAACAACCCAGAUGCCCCACUACAGAUGAAUUGAUCCAAAA